GGGACCAUGGCGCAGUUGGCUAGCGCGCAGGUCUCAUACUAUCAGUAUGAUCGAGCCGACAACACGGCACGAGCAAUCCUGAGGUCGGGAGUUCGAGCCUCCCUGGUCCCA